UUAAGCGACUAAGCGUACACGGUGGAUGCCCUGGCAGUCAGAGGCGAUGAAGGACGUGCUAAUCUGCGAUAAGCGUCGGUAAGGUGAUAUGAACCGUUAUAACCGGCGAUUUCCGAAUGGGGAAACCCAGUGUGAUUCGUCACACUAUCAUUAACUGAAUCCAUAGGUUAAUGAGGCGAACCGGGGGAACUGAAACAUCUAAGUACCCCGAGGAAAAGAAAUCAACCGAGAUUCCCCCAGUAGCGGCGAGCGAACGGGGAGCAGCCCAGAGCCUGAAUCAGUGUGUGUGUUAGUGGAAGCGUCUGGAAAGGCGCGCGAUACAGGGUGACAGCCCCGUACACAAAAAUGCACAUGCUGUGAGCUCGAUGAGUAGGGCGGGACACGUGGUAUCCUGUCUGAAUAUGGGGGGACCAUCCUCCAAGGCUAAAUACUCCUGACUGACCGAUAGUGAACCAGUACCGUGAGGGAAAGGCGAAAAGAACCCCGGCGAGGGGAGUGAAAAAGAACCUGAAACCGUGUACGUACAAGCAGUGGGAGCACGCUUCGGCGUGUGACUGCGUACCUUUUGUAUAAUGGGUCAGCGACUUAUAUUCUGUAGCAAGGUUAACCGAAUAGGGGAGCCGAAGGGAAACCGAGUCUUAACUGGGCGUUAAGUUGCAGGGUAUAGACCCGAAACCCGGUGAUCUAGCCAUGGGCAGGUUGAAGGUUGGGUAACACUAACUGGAGGACCGAACCGACUAAUGUUGAAAAAUUAGCGGAUGACUUGUGGCUGGGGGUGAAAGGCCAAUCAAACCGGGAGAUAGCUGGUUCUCCCCGAAAGCUAUUUAGGUAGCGCCUCGUGAAUUCAUCUCCGGGGGUAGAGCACUGUUUCGGCAAGGGGGUCAUCCCGACUUACCAACCCGAUGCAAACUGCGAAUACCGGAGAAUGUUAUCACGGGAGACACACGGCGGGUGCUAACGUCCGUCGUGAAGAGGGAAACAACCCAGACCGCCAGCUAAGGUCCCAAAGUCAUGGUUAAGUGGGAAACGAUGUGGGAAGGCCCAGACAGCCAGGAUGUUGGCUUAGAAGCAGCCAUCAUUUAAAGAAAGCGUAAUAGCUCACUGGUCGAGUCGGCCUGCGCGGAAGAUGUAACGGGGCUAAACCAUGCACCGAAGCUGCGGCAGCGACGCUGAUGCGUUGUUGGGUAGGGGAGCGUUCUGUAAGCCUGUGAAGGUGUGCUGUGAGGCAUGCUGGAGGUAUCAGAAGUGCGAAUGCUGACAUAAGUAACGAUAAAGCGGGUGAAAAGCCCGCUCGCCGGAAGACCAAGGGUUCCUGUCCAACGUUAAUCGGGGCAGGGUGAGUCGACCCCUAAGGCGAGGCCGAAAGGCGUAGUCGAUGGGAAACAGGUUAAUAUUCCUGUACUUGGUGUUACUGCGAAGGGGGGACGGAGAAGGCUAUGUUGGCCGGGCGACGGUUGUCCCGGUUUAAGCGUGUAGGCUGGUUUUCCAGGCAAAUCCGGAAAAUCAAGGCUGAGGCGUGAUGACGAGGCACUACGGUGCUGAAGCAACAAAUGCCCUGCUUCCAGGAAAAGCCUCUAAGCAUCAGGUAACAUCAAAUCGUACCCCAAACCGACACAGGUGGUCAGGUAGAGAAUACCAAGGCGCUUGAGAGAACUCGGGUGAAGGAACUAGGCAAAAUGGUGCCGUAACUUCGGGAGAAGGCACGCUGAUAUGUAGGUGAAGUCCCUCGCGGAUGGAGCUGAAAUCAGUCGAAGAUACCAGCUGGCUGCAACUGUUUAUUAAAAACACAGCACUGUGCAAACACGAAAGUGGACGUAUACGGUGUGACGCCUGCCCGGUGCCGGAAGGUUAAUUGAUGGGGUUAGCGGUAACGCGAAGCUCUUGAUCGAAGCCCCGGUAAACGGCGGCCGUAACUAUAACGGUCCUAAGGUAGCGAAAUUCCUUGUCGGGUAAGUUCCGACCUGCACGAAUGGCGUAAUGAUGGCCAGGCUGUCUCCACCCGAGACUCAGUGAAAUUGAACUCGCUGUGAAGAUGCAGUGUACCCGCGGCAAGACGGAAAGACCCCGUGAACCUUUACUAUAGCUUGACACUGAACAUUGAGCCUUGAUGUGUAGGAUAGGUGGGAGGCUUUGAAGUGUGGACGCCAGUCUGCAUGGAGCCGACCUUGAAAUACCACCCUUUAAUGUUUGAUGUUCUAACGUUGACCCGUAAUCCGGGUUGCGGACAGUGUCUGGUGGGUAGUUUGACUGGGGCGGUCUCCUCCUAAAGAGUAACGGAGGAGCACGAAGGUUGGCUAAUCCUGGUCGGACAUCAGGAGGUUAGUGCAAUGGCAUAAGCCAGCUUGACUGCGAGCGUGACGGCGCGAGCAGGUGCGAAAGCAGGUCAUAGUGAUCCGGUGGUUCUGAAUGGAAGGGCCAUCGCUCAACGGAUAAAAGGUACUCCGGGGAUAACAGGCUGAUACCGCCCAAGAGUUCAUAUCGACGGCGGUGUUUGGCACCUCGAUGUCGGCUCAUCACAUCCUGGGGCUGAAGUAGGUCCCAAGGGUAUGGCUGUUCGCCAUUUAAAGUGGUACGCGAGCUGGGUUUAGAACGUCGUGAGACAGUUCGGUCCCUAUCUGCCGUGGGCGCUGGAGAACUGAGGGGGGCUGCUCCUAGUACGAGAGGACCGGAGUGGACGCAUCACUGGUGUUCGGGUUGUCAUGCCAAUGGCACUGCCCGGUAGCUAAAUGCGGAAGAGAUAAGUGCUGAAAGCAUCUAAGCACGAAACUUGCCCCGAGAUGAGUUCUCCCUGACCCUUUAAGGGUCCUGAAGGAACGUUGAAGACGACGACGUUGAUAGGCCGGGUGUGUAAGCGCAGCGAUGCGUUGAGCUAACCGGUACUAAUGAACCGUGAGGCUUAACCUU
rnacentral:rRNA from 1 species